rnacentral:rRNA from 1 species
GGACUACUGGGGUAUCUAAUCCUGUUUGCUCCCCUAGCUUUCGUGCAUCAGCGUCAGUUAUGGUCCAGUGAGCCGCUUUCGCCACAGGUGUUCCUCCUGAUAUCUACGCAUUUCACCGCUACACCAGGAAUUCCACUCACCUCUCCCACACUCAAGCCCGGCAGUUUCUCCUGCAGGCUCCGAGUUGAGCCCGGAGUUUUCACAAGAGACUUACCAAACCGCCUACGCACCCUUUACGCCCAAUAAUUCCGAACAACGCUCGCCCCCCUCGUAUUACCGCGGCGGCUGGCAC